rfam:Dipodomys ordii contig_63968, whole genome shotgun sequence.
GGUGGCUCAGUGGUAGAGUACUUGCCUUGCAUGCAUGAGGCCCUGGGUUCCAUUCCUCAGCACCA